rnacentral:rRNA from 1 species
GCCGGAGGGAAACCGAGUCUUAAUUGGGCGUUAAGUUGCAGGGUAUAGACCCGAAACCCGGUGAUCUAGCCAUGGGCAGGUUGAAGGUUGGGUAACACUAACUGGAGGACCGAACCGACUAAUGUUGAAAAAUUAGCGGAUGACCUGUGGCUGGGGGUGAAAGGCCAAUCAAACCGGGAGAUAGCUGGUUCUCCCCGAAAGCUAUUUAGGUAGCGCCUCGUGAAUUCAUCUCCGGGGGUAGAGCACUGUUUCGGCUAGGGGGCCAUCCCGGCUUACCAACCCGAUGCAAACUGCGAAUACCGGAGAAUGUUAUCACGGGAGACACACGGCGGGUGCUAACGUCCGUCGUGAAGAGGGAAACAACCCAGACCGCCAGCUAAGGUCCCAAAGUCAUGGUUAAGUGGGAAACGAUGUGGGAAGGCCCAGACAGCCAGGAUGUUGGCUUAGAAGCAGCCAUCAUUUAAAGAAAGCGUAAUAGCUCACUGGUCGAGUCGGCCUGCGCGGAAGAUGUAACGGGGCUAAACCAUGCACCGAAGCUGCGGCAGCGAACGUAUCACCCAAGACAACUUUACGGAGUUGACGAUUGACGGAGCGAAGCGACGUCAAAGCGUUCAUUAAAGUCGAGUUGGCUUAGGGAUACGUUCGUUGGGUAGGGGAGCGUUCUGUAAGCCUGUGAAGGUGUGUCGUGAGGCAUGCUGGAGGUAUCAGAAGUGCGAAUGCUGACAUAAGUAACGAUAAAGCGGGUGAAAAGCCCGCUCGCCGGAAGACCAAGGGUUCCUGUCCAACGUUAAUCGGGGCAGGGUGAGUCGACCCCUAAGGCGAGGCCGAAAGGCGUAGUCGAUGGGAAACGGGUUAAUAUUCCCGUACUUGGUGUUACUGCGAAGGGGGGACGGAGAAGGCUAUGUUGGCCGGGCGACGGUUGUCCCGGUUUAAGCGUGUAGGUGUGUGUUCCAGGUAAAUCCGGUUCACUUUAACACUGAGGCGUGACGACGAGGCACUACGGUGCUGAAGCAAC